GUGUUAGCACAGAAUAAUAAUAAUGACAUUUGUAGCUGUGAGCUCUUCUAUCCAGCAUGCACAUGCCUCCCCCCUGCCUCCAGGUACGGUACCACCUCCUGUCUCUCUUAAAGGUUUAAACUUGCCACUUCAAAGUUCCCCAUGGAUGAUGAUAUUGCUGCUUGCCAUUGACAAUGGCUCUGAAAUGUGCAAAGCUGGCUUUGCAGGAGAUGAUGCCCCUUGGGCUAUGUUCCCUUCCAUUACUGGGUGCCCCAAACAUCAGGGUGUGAUAAUGGGCAUGGGCCAGAAAAACAGCUAUGUGGGGGAUGAGACCCAGAGCAAGAGAGGUAUUCUGACCCUGAAGUAUCCCAUUGAACAUGGUAUUGUCACCAACUGAGAUAACAUGGAGAAGAUCUGGCAUCACACUUUCUACAGUGAGUUCCAUGUGAUCCCUGAGGAACACUCUGUGCUGCUCACAGAAGCUCCCCUGAACCUCAAAGCCAACAAAGAAAAGAUGACUCAGAUUAUGUUUGAGACCUUCAACACUCCAGCCAUGCAUGUCACCAUCCAGCCUAUGCUGUCCCUGUAUGGCUUUGGUUGUACCACUGGUAUUGUGAUGGACUCCAGUGAUGGUGUGACUCACACUGUGCCCAUCUAUGAAAGUUAUGCCCUUCCCCAUGCCAUCCUCCAUCUGGAUCUGGCUGGCCAUGAUCUGAUGGACUACCUCAUGAAGAUCCUGAGCGAGAGAGGGUACAGCUUCACUAACACAACUGAGAGGGAAAUUGUACAUAACAUCAAGGAGAAGCUGUUAUGUCACCCUAGACUUUGAACAGGAAAUGGCCACUGCGGCAUCUAGCUCCUCUCUGGAAAAGAGCUACGAGUUUCCUGAUGAUCAAGUUAUCACCAUUGGCAACAAGCGGUUCUAAUGCCCAGAAGCUCUCUUCCAACCAUCUUUCUUAGGUAUGGAAACCACGAAACUACCUUCAACUCCAACAUGAAGUGUGAUGUUGACAUCCGUAAAGAUCUGUAUGGUAAUACUGCAUUGUCUGGUGGUACCACCAUGUACCCAGGCAUUGCUGACAGGAUACAAAAGGAGAUUACAGCACUAGCCCUCAGCACAAUGAAAAUCAAGAUCAUUGCUCCACCUGAGCACAAAUACUGUCUGGAUUGGAGGUUCCAUCCUGGCCUCUCUUUCCACUGUCCAGCAGAUGUGUAUCAGCAAGUAGGAAUAUGAUGAAUCUGGGCCCUCCAUUGUCCACUGCAAAUGCUUCUAAAUAGACUAUGUUUUGUUUUUUUGGUUUUGGGGGGGGGGGUUUGGUUGAUUUUUUUUUCAAAGGAUAUGACAUGAUAACUGCCCAAAAGAGAUGAGAUUGGUAUGGCUUUAUUUGUUUUGUUUUGGUUUUGGUUUUGGUUGUUUUGACGCUUGACUCAGGAUUUAAAAACUGGAAUGGUGAAGGUGAUGAGCAGUCUAAGUAUAUUUGAGGCAAACAUUGUAAGGGUCCUUUAAAUGGGCCAGCACAGAGCCACGGGAGGUUUGAGUGGCCUGUAAGUAAUUUUCUCUGGCUAGGGACUGCCUCAUGGGCAGGACUCUUGUCAUAUCGCCAUAGCUUCGUAAGAGAAGAUGGCUCCCUCUCUGUUUGGCUGUGUGUGUGACCUCACAGACCCUUUUUAAGCCCACCACAGCGGGAGGUCGGUCUCUUUAUCCUGGGGUCGCUGAGCCAAGCUGAUGGAUAGCCAAGAGAGGUAAAGAGCUUGAUAGUGAACAUGUGAGUCUCUCACAGACCAAGUGUUCACUUGGGAGUUAACAAGUCAGGGCAUUAUGUGAGCAAAUAUAAUAAAGACUUUAAAUUUGCACAUGGCUGUCCUUGAGCACGCUAUUGGUUAUUAAACUACAAUUCAAGAAAACGUAGGCAGAGAUCUCUGAAGGCCUCAGAGGAGGCAGCCAGGUAGAAUUAGUUGACACUGCAAAGGUCAGUAGCCAGAGGUUCUCUGAUGCCCUGGGAAUUAGAAGAGACUGGCAAUGCUAGGACUUUCGCAAAUGAAGUGACUGUUCAGGGUUAAGUAAUAAACGAUAUUUUACAAAACAUCCCCAAAGUUCUACAGUGUGUGUUCAGGACUUUGAU